UGGCAGAAUUGAGUACUUGCAACAGAGACCAUCUGGUCUGCAAAGCCUAAAAUAUUUAAUAUCUGGCCUCUUACAGAAGAAGCUUUGUAGAAUAUUU